UUGAGGUGAGGGCUUGUCCGAUGAAUGCCAGGUCUCAUGAUCACUUCACAGUUGGGAGGAAUUUCAACUAUUUUGUUAUAUAUAUCUACUGGCAAUGUGGCUGUCCCAAACAGAUACUGGGUGGCUACAGGUGAAGAAUUGAUUAUGCUUUGAAACGCUGCUUCAAACUCCUCAUCAUUGCAGAGUAUAUAUCCACCUCAUCCAAAAUCACGCUGCAUUGAAAAGCCAUAAAUUAUAGCAGUAGUUGCAAAACAAUCUGCAACGUGUAUAAAGAUACCAUUCUUAUAGAGCUCUUUGUUUGUAGCUUAGCAUGGACUCAAAUCUGCUAAAUGCCAAAAUCAUCCAGACUUUGAUGUCAUUCAAAUUCUUAGCAGGCAAAUCCAUUAUCAAAAGAUUUUUUAACUUCAUAUCCUAUAUCAAACAAUAGGACGAGUGGAGCUUUCUAAAUCUGUCAAUCGUCACCAGUCAUUUCUUGAGGAAAUCUAUCAGGGCUAACAAAUAGCAAUAUAUAUAGCAAUUUUGUAAAUCAAAGCAAAGGUCUCCAUAACUCAAGCCAGAAAAUCAAGAUUCAGCUAUGUAUAUGUAAGAAUAGAAAUUUUAUCAAUCUUUUCCUUUCCUCGAAGAAUGGUGAUGAAUCAUGGUGGCAGUACUAAAUCUAGAAUACAGUAGCACAAUCACAUUCGUUACUCAAAAACAGAUGAGAAGACAAUAAUUUUGAAUAGCUCACGCACCCAAACUUAUUUGUGCAACAUUAUACAGUGCAUAGGCUUACCAUCCAAGAUCUUUCGACUCCAAAAAGCCCUCUUUAAUGAGAAAAAUAAAGCGACUGGGUGUGGCUAUUAGGCAUCAAGACCUUCUAUAUUUUCCGGCUGAGUUUUUUUCCUGAAACCGCCCAUGGCAACCAUAGACCAGAAUGGAGCCCCAAACUUCGAUAUGGAUUGGCAGUUACUCAAAACCUGCAUAAAAUUUACUAUAGAUAUUAAGUAUCCUUAUGUGGGUCCAAAAAUUUAUGUUAGGUUUGUCAUCCACUACUAGCAAAAACAAGCAUUGCUAUACAUAAAACCAACUACAGAGUAUCUCCAAAUUCAGAACGCAUCCAUUUUCAACAGCUCUAAGGAGAUUACCAGUUUUGCCACAUGAGUGGAUUAUGCGCAUCUUUAAGCAACUGUGUGCCACUCAAAUUGUACAUUUGUCUUUCCAGAAACCCAGUACAAUCUAGAAAUCUCUUCUUUUUUAUUAUUUGAAAGAAGAGAUGACAUUUUGAGUAAAAUAGAUGACAAGUUGUCAAAAACACACUGACUGCCACCAAAAAUGAAUUGGAGUGCUUUUUUCAUCACAAAUUGGCUGCUUAAGCAAUAGCCUAUCAUAGUAUAAGAUGAGAGCUUAAAAUGGCCAUAAACUAGUAAAAGUCGGUGACUUGCUUGCCAAAGCACAUAAGGGCAAAAGAAAAGGCACAAGAAAGGAUACUAACUGCCAACCUGUGAAGCUAACUCAACAGCUAGCACCAAAAUGACAACUCGAGGGCUUCGUGAGAAUGAUUUGCUAAGUCCUUGCAGCUCUUCUUGCCUGAGACGUUGGACUACUGGUGCAAGAUAAGCAAGCGUUUUUCCUGAACCACUCUGAUCAGCUAUAUUACAAGUGUUUCCCUCAAUUACAGGUUUGAAUGCAAUCGCCGGCAGUCAUCAAUAGUUAGCAUCAAUCUGAGUUGCAGUACAUAAGGAGAAGUUCUUCCUUUUGUCAAAGAAUAGAUAGAACAUCUCAAUGCAAUUACUUAUCAAUACUUAUGCCAUUGAAAAGACAAAAACUGACGCUAUAGGUUGGCCCCUCAAUGACUUCCACAUCCAUCAGCUCCAAUUUCACAUUUACAGAUAAAAUAUGAAUGAUGACGAAUGCAAGCUUACAUCUAGAACUAUACAAAAACAAGGUCAUCAUUGAUUUGAAGCUCAAUGUGGAUAUUAUGAAGAUAGUAGAUAUAACGAUGAUUAGAAUGUGCUCACGUUUAUUACAUUGCCAGCUAAAACAGCAGUAAGGAAGCAAUGACCAAGUUCCUUCCAUUUUCCCAGCAGAAAAAGCAACAAGCUGAAACCUUUGACUUUGAGUAGGUCAUACUAUUGAUGUACCUGAAUAUGUGAGGGGCACAGAAAAUGCUGCUUCCUCAAAGAUUCAAUCAUAUAGUCACUACAACCCAAAUCUUCAAAGGACUUUCGACCAUGGAAGUCACUAUUGGAGGAAACUUUCCCUAUGCAAACUUAGAUCUUUCGAGUCAGAUCUAAAGUCAUCCAUGGACACACCCCCUGCCCCAUCCUCUGAAAUCUGCAUAAAAACUACGGACUGAAUGCUCUGUUCCAACUAUUCUGGUGGUAGAUAUGCCAUGUUUAUUGGGUUCCUUUCAGUGCACUGAACAAUCCAUAUCUUUUAUGUCCAUCCUUGCUGCAGCGUCUUUGGCAGCUUUGGAUUGGUGAGCACCUGAAUCCUUUCCUCCACGUCAAAGGAUAGCUGCUUCCUUCUGUUUCCCCAGUAGGUCCAAUUUAGAAAAAGAGAGAUCAGGCAUAUCAAGAGGUACACUUUCUACUACCGGUUCAUAAUCUUUGCGACUCGCUUGUUUUAGCUUGGAAGAUUUUUCAGCAAGAGAUUUGACUCUCAGCAAUUUCAGUCGUCCAAAACCUCUGCCUAGACCACUCACACUUGCUGUAGGAGAAUAUCAUCUUUCGGCAGGGUUGACCCAUGAUGAUUGCCUGUAUAAAAGAAAAAGAAGUGACUGUCAGACUACAUUUUAUCGCUGGAAAAACCAAAUUCAUCUCCAAGCUCUGACUUUACACAUUGCACAGAAGGAUUCAGUACGCUACAAGAAAGUCUUAGCACAGAUUGAAAUGGGAGAGAAAUUUCUAACUCUGUUUGCAUACAUUCGUUUUCAAGCCAACCUAAGAAAACCAAAAAUCAUUUACCCAAGACUGUAUGAUUCAGAUAAGCUCCGAAAGAAAAUCUAAUGUUGGAUUUGUUAUCCUCCAUCUGAAUACAAUGCAUAUAACAAAUCACUGGCAUCGUUACAAGAGCUUAGAUACCAAUUAUCAACAAUGCAAGCACAAAAAAGAAAGAAAAGCUCCAACAAAUAAGAAAGGAAUUCGUAAUCAGAACCGACUGCAUCAGUCAUUCCGACUUGCACAUUCACAUCAAACACGUCUACACUCAAAUGCAAACUACGCAAGUUAACAGCUCAAUUACAGAGAUAAAUCCAAUCCUACCAUCUCGUCGUCAAUCGGCUGGUAGGCCCCCGCCCGAGUCUCCGAGGGCCAAGGCUCAGACAUAAGAAAUACCAAAUCUCUUCCAUGUAGAAUAUUCGAAUCCGAAUCCCUUUUCUCAAGUAAUUGACUUGGAGGAGUCAUUACCCAAUGUGACUUUCGGGAUUUCGUAGAUGAGGGGCCAAUAGCAGCCGGUCCCUUUCCUGCAUCGCUUCUCCAGAAUCCCACAUCCUGAGAUCCAGAGUAGUUCUAGGGAGGGAGGGAGGCGAUCCUGGGGUAACUCCCUCAGCUUCGGGCAAUUCUGGAUGUACAAGGACCGGAGAGAGGGAGGGAGACUGGUGAACAGUCUUUCCACGUUCUUCAUGCCACAGAUAUAGAGAGAGGUCAGAGAGGAAGGGAGCGGAAGCACAAGUUCCUCCUCCUCUCCCACUCCUCCCACGCUGCCAUCCAUGAUCAGAUCUUGAAGGGAGGUGAGGGGGGUAAGCCACUCCCUCAUCGGCUGCUUCAUAUUCUCGCAUCUAGACACCUGAAGGAACUCUAGCUGGGGCGGCAAUCCUCCAUCGGGGAAGCGCGUAAUACUCUCACACCCAUUAAUUACCAGAUGUCGGAGACUUGUGAGUAGAUGCAACUUAUUAGGUAACGAUUUUAUCUUUGGACAAUCCCCAAGCCAAAAAGCCGAGAUGCUGGGAGGAAGAGGAGGGAAGCACUCCAGCUCUAGUGCAGGACACUCCCACAAAAACAAGAAAGUGAGAUGGGACAAUGUGUGCAGCCCCUGUGGUAAGCUUCUCAAAUUCGUACAAGAUAUAAUUUUAAUCUCUUUAAGCGACUGAAGACGGUCCACAAGUAUCUCCGCAAGUGACUCCACUCCCCCACACGACUCAAUUUCAAGUGUCUUGAGGGUUGCUGGUAAAAAUCUAUUCUCGCUGAAUAAAGAGGCCGAUAGAGAAUCGCAUCAGUACAUUUUUAAAUUUUGCAAACGAAACGUCAUAUCACUGUGGUUAUUGCUACUUGGUUCAUCCAUAUGAACACUUGAUCCUCCGGGUAAAGAUAGCAACAUCUUGCAAUAUCGGAUAUUUAAUGAUAUCACUGACGCCAAUAUACCUGUUUUGGGGAAGGACGGGAGUUUUGGACACUCCUCGAUGGUCAAGUCUUGAAGCGAGGAGAGGGUAUAAAUCAUGCUUGGGUGCUUCUCCAAAUUGAUGCAAUUUCGUGAGUCCAUAAUUUCCAGCUUGCUACGCAACUCUAUAUCUCCUUCUCCAACUGAAAAUGAUAUAAAUUCAGGACAACUUUUGACAACUAAGCUCUUCAGACAAGCCAAAUUCCGAAUUAUAUCUCUCUCUUGCCAUAAAUACAUCAAAUUUUUACAACUUAUCAUCUCCAACUUCUCCAACUUGACCAAGGAGUUUGUAAACCCAUAAUUUAAGCAAGUUAAUUCAAGUACAUCUUGCAUGACAAGAGAAGUUAGAGAUGUCAAGUUUACCAAACUCUUCAGCACGCCCUCAUUACAAUCUCUAAAGUUUAAUUCAUUGAGGGAUGGAAGGCUAAUGAUAGAGGACAAGGCAUCUAUAAGCGGACAAGAGUUGAUUUCCAGCUUUUUGAGAGAGCUCAACUGACUAGGCAAUCUUCCGAUCAAUAUAGGACAAUCCCGAAUGACCAGAUGCUCAAGACAAGGGAAUAAAACUCUUACUUCUUCAUCGUCGAAGCAAUAAGACCAGUCCUCCCACGAUGGCAUGUCCUUGAAUUCUAAAGUCAUUAAGGAUGGAAAAGGACUUUUAGUUCCAUAAAAUUCAGACCCUACUGUGUGUAUUGCAUUUAGACCUUCGAUGUACAAUUCUUUUAGAGAAGAUAGCUGUCCCAAUGAGGCUAGCGCAUUGGCCCGACAACACCCAUGUAAACGUAAAUGCACAAUCUUAACAUAUGAGGGACUUCCUAACCAUGAUGGAAAUUCUAAGCUACCAUAGUAGGAUAUUGUGAGAUUUUCAAGUUUUGGGUGAGGGCGAAGAAAGUCAAGGACUUUUGCUUCAAGCUCUUCAUUCCGGAAAUUUCCAAAAUCUUCGCACCAUUGCAUGGUCAACCGGCAUAUUCCCUCCUUCAUGCAUAAAUCGGCAUCUGUGGCAUCCCCGGCUUCUGGAAUCUUAUGCAAAUUAGAGAUGCAUAAUUCCCCUCCAAGAUUCUUUAGGUUUUUCAACUCCUUCAAUCUUGACCCUAUUUCCAUUCCCACUACAAAUUUGGACAGUAUCUCAAGACCCACCAAAUUACCUAUAUAUAGCGGCAUCGCUUUUAGGCUCGAAGUAUCGGUCAAGUCAAGAAAUUUUAGAUUCAUCAAUUUCUCCAUACCUUCCGGUAAUUCUAUAGGGUUUCGACAUCCUCGCAACAUCAAACUCUCUAGGUAGUACAAUGCAACAAUUGACUUUGGAAGCUUUUCGAUGUUAGAAUUCGACAAAUUGAGGUACCUUAGGUGUUUCAGUUUGCCAAUGCAAUCUGGUACCUCUCUAAUGUGAUAGUGACAUAAUGAAAGCACCCUCAAAAACUUCAAUUCGGAUAACAAGUCACAUAACACUUUCUUGGACAAAUGUGACUUAUCAUAAUACUUAGGUUGCUUCACUAAUGAUAUAAAGCUCCUAAGUCCCUUCAUUCCGUGAUAUAUCUUGAAUCUUUCUUGGACAAUGUGUGGGCUAGAAAUGAAUGAGGCAUGACGAGCCAAAAAUGCAUUAUUUUGAUCACCCUCGAAGUCAAAUGCCCCCGAGCUAAAAUAGGCUACACCAGCAACUAGCUUUGCAAGGUCACUCACAAGAUCAUGCAUCAAGAAUCGUGAUUCACUACUACUCAACUCUUGAAGUAAUGUUCUAGAUACUAACUCGUUAAAAAGUGUCAAACCUACAUUCCAAUGGCUUUCUCCUUCUUUUCUCUCCAACAAGCCCUCUGCAAUCCACCAGUGAAUCAACUCAUCUCGUUCAAUUUCAUAGUCGUUGGGAAAUAUAGCGCAGUAAGCAAAACAUCUCCUCAUAUUUGAAGGGAGAUGGAGGUAGCUAAGUUUCAAAGCCGGAAGGAUGUCAUUACUUUCUUGUGGGAGGUCCCAAAUUUUGCUAUUCAAUAUACCUUGCCACUCACGAGGACUAACUUUAAAGCUUAGUAGCCCAGCCAAAGUCUUCACAGCUAAUGGCAACCCUUGGCAUUUAUCCACUAUUUUCAUGCCUAAUACUUCAAGAUCAGGAUGAUGAUCGAAAUUUCUUGCUCCAAGAGCAUGAAAUGUGAACAAAGUCAUACAAGCAUCUUGUGACAACGGUUUGAGAGUAUAGGGUUGAGCACGGGCUAUUUCAGCAAUGCGGAAAUUACGAGUCGUGACAAUGAUCUUGCUUCCCUUUGCUCCCCAUUGAAAAGGCUUCAAGAGGAUAGUCCAGUUUCCAUAAUUCUCGUUCCAAACAUCAUCUAAAACAACAAGAAACUUCUUCCUUGCAAGGUGUUCCUUGAGCUUAUCUUGAAGCCAAUCCAGGUCCUUACCUUCACAAGACAAAUGGCCAGUGGUUGUCUCAAGGAUCUUCUUUGUAAUAGCAAGCACGUCGAAAUCAUCAGAAACGCAAGCCCAUGCUUUCACAUCGAAAUAGUCGGUGACUCUAUCAUCAUUGUAGACGUGCUGAGCCAGAGCCGUCUUCCCAAGACCCCCCAUCCCUACGAUGGGAAUCACUUUUGGAUCCACACAUGCCCUAUCAUUUUCUUCUUUGGUCAGUAAUUCAAGGAUCUCCUUUUUUUCGACCUCCCUGCUAACAAAACAAGGCUCAGGCAAAUUUGUAGUGUGAAGUGGCUUAUCCACUUGACGGUAUGCUGAUCGCUUCUCGUUAUUCUCUCUCAGGUGCAGAAUAUCUUUAUGAGUAAUGAUAUCCUUUAACCUGCUAUCCAUCUCUUCCAUCUUGGAUCUCAUUGUAUGGUCAAACAUAAAUGCUCUCGGGCUCAAUCUCAAGCAACAACUUUGAAGAAGGGAACGCACCUUGCUAGUGCCGGGUUUUGCCUCGGCGUUAUUUUCCACGGACUCUAUGGCAAACUUGUCUAGCAAGUCUUCAAUGUCGUAGGCCAAGUCCCUAAGAUUUUUGAGCCAUGAGUUCACCCCGAGAUCACCAUUCAGUUGCCUAUCCUCCGCAUCAUCCAACACUUGGUUGAUGGUGACCAGCAUCUCCUCCCAUUUUUUCAGCAGUAUAUCGAUACCCUUGCGCCGUGCAAAGUUGAGAAGCUCACGAGAGGCCAGCCUAUCAAACAGCACUUGAAGAAAGGCGCCAAGAAAGACCUCUGCGAUCGGCAUGGCUUGGUUCGCGAGCGACAGAGGAUUAAACGAGAGUGCCCGGAAGGGUCGAAACAAAGUGCAGAGGGCCGAGAGGAAACAAAAGUUCUUCCGUCCAGGACAAUAGGAUGAAAUGAUGGUGUGAAUCAAAGACUUUUUAAGCACUAAAGCGCUCUUUCUUUCUCGGAAGAAGCUGCCGUUGCAUUUCAUCUCGUCCUCAGUUGAUUUCAUUUCAUUUCUGUAGACUCAAUUUCUCGGAAGCAAAUUGGUCGGACGUGGGACCAAGUCUUGGCAUCAUCAGAGCCUCCAAAAGCUCAGAAGGUAAAAGAAGUGGAGCCCAUCUCCUGCCCAACCCCGGAACUUUUCUGCUCUAUUAUUGAUCGUCAGUUCUAUCUUCCCACUCACAUCACAUGAUUCCCAAUUGCACCCAUCCACCAUCUUCAUGCAUCACAUAGAUCAUGGCAUAACAGUUUCGUUGAUGCAGCCUUAUGAACCCCAUCACUUUAUAAAAAAGGAGAAGUUAUGACAUAAUUUUACUUUAUGUAGACCGGAUACUAUCGUAACCAUUGAGCAUACGGAUCUCAAUAUUAUUUCACGCCAUACGAGAGUUCAAUGCUUUGAAAACUCCAAAAUUAUGUGGUUGAUUGCUCAACAAGUAUCGAGAAAUACUUGUAAAAAAAUCGUACUUUAAUAAGGAUCAGAAAGGAAAAAAAAAGUGUUACUUUUAUUCAUUACUAUAACUGUUACCUAGAUUUGCUAUCUGAAAGAUACAGGAGGAAAAUCAAGCGGCCCUACAUCGAAUUUAAUUGUGGAACCGCCAAGCAACAAUGAUUAGAUUCAUAAAGAAACUUUCUUGUUUUAUUCGGUUCGCGGGAUCAGACAAAAUAUGCUUGUUGUUUUGUCCCAUGAAGAGUAGGGGUGAGCAGCAGUCUAGGGUCGACCUUGGACCUACCCUGGACCGGCCCAACCCUGCCGGUCCUGGUCCGGUUCUCAAGGGGACUGGGUCGGUCCUUGGUCCUAAAAUUCCAGGACCAACACUGUGCGGGUUGGUCCUCGGUCCUAAGAGUUUUGGGUCGGUCCAACCCUGGAUCAACCCUGUAUAUUAUAUUAUAUUAUAUUAAUAAUUCUUUUAUAUAUUCAAACCUAAGUAAAAUGUUUGUUAUAUUAUAUUAUAUUGAAAUGUUCUAUCAAUAGCACUAAUAGUAAUUUCAAUUUAAAACUUUUGUUGAGUAUUAAUCAUGUGUCGUUUGUUUUGCUUUCAGGUGUUUAGAAGUUCAAGUGAAUUAACAAGAUGUGAAGUUAUAUAUUCAUGGUUUAUAUUAAGUAUUUUGAACUUUUUAUGGUUUAAUUGUAUUUUACUAAUGAAUUUCAGAUGCACUUUGCUUUUCAAUUUAUGUCAGAUGGUAGAAGUUUUGAAGAGUAGAGUAGUAUUGUAGUUGCUACAGUGAUUUGCUAGUCAAGUGGUACGAAGCUCAUUUUUUGGUUGAGUGGACUCUACAUGAUCAAAUGCAGGAAAUUAUGAAUAUUAAAGAUAGAUGAUUACAGACUUUUCAUCUUGUCCCAUAUCUCGAUGAUCGUUUAGCAGGUACAAAAUUUAUAUAUUAUGUCAUCUUAAUUUGCUAAAUAUGUAUUGGUAUUUAUAAUUUAGUUGCACAAUGCCGCAUUGUCAAUGGAUGUGUAAUUUGAAUUUGUAGGUUUGUUUUUUAGGGAGUAUAAAAAAUAAGACGAAAAAAAUUAUCGAUCGGUCUCGGGUUGACCCUGAAACUAGACCGAACCCAUUGGGUCGGUCCGGUCCUUGGUCCUAGGCUCAAUAGGGUCGGUCAUCGGUCCUAAAAAUUGAGGACCGACACUGUAUGGGUUGGUCCUAGGGUUAGGGGGUGGCCCGGACCAACCCGGAUCAUGCUCACCCCUAAUGAAGAGAGGAACUGCUUAACUUCAAUAUGCCUCCAAGUAGACUUUGAUAUUGGGCUAUUCAUAGCCUAUUAUUAUAGUAUAUGAAAAUGGAUUCACUAGUGCUUAAGAAAUUGGCAGGUCCCUAGAUUACAACUUUUGAUUCCUUGGCUUCCGCGCGUCCUGUCAUAAUCACCCUUCUUUCUGGGAAAGGGGAACAGAGAGAGAAUGACUUUUGAUUCCUUUAUCCUCUCCUUCGCACAGUAAUUCUUGUCGUUUUCAUUGCUCUUUUGCACAAAUAAUCUAUUUAUGAGCCUCUCUCUCUCUCUCUCUCUCUCUCGCCAUGUAUGUUACUUUUCAAUUUUCUUUGCUAUUUUAUCUAUAAAUUAUAUAUUAUUAUCGUUCUUUCGAUGCUUUUGCACAUGGGGCCUGCAUCUAGGAAUGGUGAAGAGAGUAGGGAGAGAAUGGCGUUUGAUUCCUUCUUCCUCUCCUUCGCACAAUCCGUCUUGUUGUCGUCUCACUUCCUUGAACCAGCGAAAUACAAGGACGUCAAGAAAUAAUUGUUUAUGAAGAAAUUACAAGGCUCCUGCCGACAUGCAGUCCUAUUCUAAAUAAUGUGCACGCUCUUUAGGGUGAAGUGCACCCUCCUAAAAUUACCUCUACAAUUACGACAUUCAUUUGUUGAAUAAGCCCCUAUUUUUUAAUGCAUAACUACCAUUUUAUCUAGCGAUCUCAUUUUUCACAAGUAUCUAUCCUAGUCUAACGUUAAUAAGUUUAUAACCUAUACUUUUACAAUAUGGUCAUUCUCUUCUUAUUUUUAGAAUGAUGUCACUAAACUUUUCGGAAUCGGAAUUAAUAGGUUGGGCAAGUAACAUUAUGGCAUUAAUUGAUGGAAAAUAUUGGAAUUUGAUACCUAAACAAGUGAAAGUAUUGACUGUACAUGUUAUGAUGGCAAUCAUUGUAUUAGACCCUAAGGCACUUUUUAACAAACUCCUUAUUUGGCAAAUUGAAUCACUCGAAGGAAUGCUUUAAAGUGUAUUGUGAUCCCAGUUAACCAAAUAACUAGGCCUAACUGGAAUUUAUUGCGUUGGUGUAAGCAUAAUUUAUGACAUUGGUGACAAGUGGUAUGCCCCUUUUUUAUUCUUAUUUUGCACAUUGCAAUUCAUUGUGUAUAUCACUUUCUAAAUAAUUAUGAAAAAUAUAAUCUUUACAGCCGAUCGGUGUUAAGAAGUUGAAAUCAAGAAGGCAUUAAUUAUUUUUAAAGAGAUUUCAAAUACAGAAACCACUUGUUUAUUGGCAUGGCUUAUAGAAGUUUAUCUUUCCACUUGCAUUCACGAUCCUAAUAUUUUAUGGUAUUCUUUUUUGUGCAUGCUUGAGUGCUAUGUUUUUUUCAUUUUUGCAGCAUCAUGAGAUGGUGGAAACGAAGGAAGUAGCAAGGCCGAGACUAGCAGCAUAGUCUUAUGUUAGUCCUUUUUUUUGGGGGUGAUUUCGAACAUAUGUAAGCUCACUCAAACACAAAGUUGAAAAUAAGAGUAAAUCUCUCUUGAAAGGAUCCACAUUAAAAGCAAACUUAGCUAAACCAUGAACGGAUAUAUUACAUUUCCUUCCAUUGUUUACACCUAUAUAAGAGGACACCGAUACCCUACCUUAUUGGGGAGAAGCUCUAAGCACCACUAAACAUGCUUUUGCGUCAGCCUAAUCAUCCUUCCUCCUCCUCUUAUUCUUCAGCAUGUGUUUUUUUUUCAUCUCUCUCUCUCUCUCCCUCUCUCUUUUCGUUUGUUGGCCUUCUCUUGUAGUUUUCUCGCUCUUUCUUUCUCGGAAGACGCUGCCGUUGCAUUUCAUCUCAUCUCGUUUGAUUUUUAAUUUCAUUUCUGUUGCCUCAAUUUCUCGGAAGCAAGUUGGUCGGAGAUGGGGACCAAGUCUCGGCCACAUUAAAGCCGCCAAAGAAGGCUUGGAAUGUUCAGUACUGGACCCGAAACUACUGCUUUAUUAUCACUCCUCAGAUCUCUCUCAGCACUCGCAUCACACAAAGUCCCAACCAUCCAUCAUCAUCAUGCAUUACAUAGAUCAUGUGGCAUCAUGAUUUCAUUGUCGAACAGUGCGGACCACCUGCUUGUUGUAAGUGUGAAGCCUUCUACUGUUAUUGCACAUGCCCACAAGGAGGGAGUUUCACAGGAGAUCUCGAGGGUAACGGAAAUGGGGGUAGGAAGCUCCUUGAAAGGAAAUGAAAAUUGAUAAGUCUCUUAUUACGUCAAAAUAAAUAUUUACCUGUUGUUGCGUCUCUCUCUCUCUCUCUCUCUCUCUCUCCCCGCGUGCGUCCGUGAAAGAGAGUUGAAAGAUGGCCUGUGUUGAUCGAAAAAGAAGCGAGUCAGGACCAGUGGCCAAACGCAGUCUAUAUAAAGCAUUUUCGUAAAUUAAAAUAGGUCCUCAAUUGAUUCUUUUUUCUUGCAAGAUUAUGGGAAACUGACCCCAUAGUUAUUUUUUCCUCUCUAGCUGAGAACUAUUCAAUUCAGAACAACAAUAUGGGGCUGCUGGGAGGAAAAUAAAUUUCGACUUAAAAAAGUAAGUUUUUUUAAAGAAAGAAAAUACAUCAGUAUAAAAAUUAACAUACAAUAUCUAUAUAUUCAAUAAUCCAAUUCGGUUGGUUAUUAUUAAAUAAUCAAUCUCUUAACAGUAUGAUGAUAUCACACAAUAUAAAUUAUGUACAUUGGGAUAAAUGAUUAUUGUUACAUAAGAAAGUAAAUUUCACCAUAGUAGACGAUAUGGAUCAUGAAAAAGUGCUAAAUGCAGGAUGAAAUUUUUUAUGGCAAUUUUUUCAUUGCGAAGUGCACAUUAAAACUUUUUAACAGUAUUUCCUUUUAAUCAGGACAAAAUCACUAAAAUUUAAUGGCUAAUUUUGUGUGAAGGACUUAUUAAAGUUAGCUGUCAGGCAGAUAAAUUCUUAUAUAUAUAUUUUAGUCAGUACAUAAAUUCUUAUAUUUAGUGAGUGGUUUACCACACACAUCUUGAGAGAGGAAUGGGCUUAUCAUAGUACAUUAAAGAUUUGUCAUGCAAUCAUUUCUGUUCACAUAGGCCUGAUGGGAAUUACAAACUUCCCAUGUUCUUUCGACAACUCUGAUGGUUACGCGCAUAACAUACCCUUUUAGCCUCCUUCAACAAAUCCACUUGAAUGGAUAGACAACUCAAGUUUGCAUAGUUUUUCAGAAUGAUAAUUAUGUUGCAAAAUGGCAUAUGGGCUAUAAGAUUGACUACUGAGGUCAUGGAGGUUAUUGUUGGGAAUAUUAUUUUCCUAAUAAGGAAAAUGCGUUGGGAUCAAUUCAAUAAGCAAAGUUACCUAUACACAUAUUUGAAUGCAUCUGCCCCGUUGCCGUGGAUGCAAAUAGGUUAAAUUGCUCUAGCUACCUUCAAUCGAACUCAAAAAGCACAAAAUCACUAAAUUGUUUGGUCAUAACGAUUGGUGUAAGAUUUGCACCACAAAACAUGUUUCCCAUACUGAAAUGAAAAGGGAUAAUGGAAUAAACAGCAAUGUUUCAUUUCAGCUAUGUAGACCGGAUCAUCAUUAAACAUCGAUCAUAUGCGUGCCAGCCACCAUUCCAUUGUAACACGAAAGCCCGACGCAUUGAAAGCCACAAAAUUUUCGUAGUUGAUUGCUCAGCGAGUGUCCAAAAACGCUUGAUGGCAAAACCAUUUUUAAAUGAUGACCAGAAAGGGAAAAAAAUGAUUACUUUCUCUUUAAUUAUGUCAUCGUCACCUAGACAUGCUCUUUGAAGAAUACACAAUCUGAUAGAUUAGAUGGAAAAAAAACCAAGUGGCUAUAGAUCAAAUUAAAUUGGAAGCCUUCAAGCUUCCAUUUGUUUCUUUUUCCCUAUUUGCCAAGCAACAAUGAUUAUAUUCAUAGCAAAGCUUCCUUGUUUUAUUUGGUCCAUGGGUCAAAAAUAAUAUGCUUAUUGUUUUGUCCCAGGAAGAGAAGAGCUACCUAACUUCAAUAUGCCCACCAGCCAUUCAAAUAGAUGGAAUUUGAUAUAUACUUAUGCAUGCUCUAUUAUUAUAUUUGUGUAUAGAUGUUACAUUAGUGGUACAAAAAUAACUGAAUCCCUAAACCAUAGAUUUUGCUAAGGCAUCACAUAAAAAAAAUAAAAUAAUAAUAAUAAUAAUCGAUGCGGGGAGUGCACUCUCAAGAUGUCUUGGGAAGGUGGACUGAUUGAAGCCUGGGAAAGUUAAUUUAUACACCACUUGGCCGCUAAAUAUGAAAAGAAAAUAAUAUUGAUAAAUAGUUCAUGGGUCUCAAGGUCAAAUAAAAUUAGAAAUUUCAAAGCUGCAAUAUCAAAUAAGAUAUGCAUAUGUUAAAUUAGGAGAACGGUGAGAGUACCUAACCACGAUCCGUCCAUCAACUAAAUUUUCAUUAACGUGGACAAAUCAAUAAAAAAAAAUCAAUAAUUUUAAUCAAUUAUGCCCUAUUAAAACGGGUGUCAAAAGACAUUUGUUUCUAGAGAAAUUACAAGUCCUCGUUGAAAUGCAUUUCUAUUCUAGAGAAGGGGCAUUCUCUUUUGGAUAAAAUGCACCCUCUUCACCAAGAGUUGCGUACUUUUUAAGGUAAAGUACAUGCGUUUUGCUCUCAUUCAGGUCAAGCUCACAUUCGUUAAAGUUCAAGCGUAUGCUUCUUUGGUAUUUAAAACACGGCAUGUAAUGGCUUGUGUGCACAGGCCCUAGAAAAGCCAACAAAGGAACAAAGGAGAGCAAUUGCUUCAUGUCUGAAUUUACAUUGAAGUUUCCUACUGGUCUUCGUCAUUGCUUCGUGCCUGAAUUUACAUUGAAGUUUCCUACUAGUCUUCGUUGACUCGAUGCUUAGAAAAGAUCCAGGGAAAAACUGCCUUCUACCUUUCUAGAAGCUCUAAUGGUUAAAUAAUUGACACAUAAAGGAGAAAUUGUAUGUAUGUAUUAUUCUAAUUUUUCAUUAGGCUAGGUGCAAAAUACUUGAUUAUCAAUUAGAUAUUUCAACCAUGUCUAAAUCCACUUCAUACCUGACUCAUCAAGGUAGUAGGGUACUCUAUGAAUUUAGAAUUUACCUAGGUAAGGGAGCUUUCUCGCGGUCAAGACAAAAAAAUUCAUAGCAAAUAAUUUUUUAUGGAAAAUUAUUAAAGAUAAGUGUAAUUAAGGAUAAACUUUUUGUGGCUUGUCUGUGGAAAAUUGUGAACUGUUGUUGUUUAACGCCCAAAUUCUUGUUAGGAGUAGGGGUGAGCAUGAUCCAGGUUGGUUCGGGCCACCCCCUAACCCUAGGACCUACCCGUACAGUGUUGGUCCUCAAUUUUUAGGACCGAGGACCAACCCUAUUAAGCCUGGGACCAAGGACUGGACCGAUCCAAUGGGUUCGGUAUGGUUCCAGAGUCAAUCCGGGACCGAUCGAUAANNNNNNNNNNNNNNNNNNNNNNNNNNNNNNNNNNNNNNNNNNNNNNNNNNNNNNNNNNNNNNNNNNNNNNNNNNNNNNNNNNNNNNNNNNNNNNNNNNNNCUCUCUCUCUCUCUCUCUCUCCAUAUAUAUUACUUUUCAAUUUCCUUUGCUAUUUUAUUUAUAGUUUGUACAUUACUAUUGUUGUCUUCUCGAGCUAGACCACAACAGCACCCUCUCCGCACCUCUCAUCCUCAAAAUCACUCCUCACCCCAAACGAAACCGCACGAACCCAACUAAUGCCUGCACCGCACCAAUCGGUUCCGAGCAGAGACUCCCCAAGCGUAUUUAUUCAAAAAUAGGCUACAUUAAUUUACAAACUUAAGAUGAAUGUUAUCAUCGUUUUGGUAAAUAAUUAUGAAUAUGGAAAAGGAAAAUUACCAUAAAUUCAAGUUGCAUGCUAUUUCUUAAAUGAAGUUACAAUUUACAAUAACUUAAAGUGAUUUAUUAUCAGUAAUUAUUAAUUGUCAAUCUUAAGCAAGGUAAGCUAUUGAUGGCUUUACGAAGUUGCAUUCUUUGAGGUAAUAAUGACGAGUGACGGCAUUCUUACUUUAAGAGCUCUAUAGCUAAGUUACUACUCCAAAAGGAAAAGCACUAGCUAUAGAUAAAUUGAGAGUAGGACUACUUGAGACAAAUUACUGUGUUUGGAGGUAUAAUCAUCAAAACUGUAUCGAGGAAAAAUUACAAUGUUGUUUGAUAAUUACUAGGCGCUAGCAUUAUAGAGAGUAUUAAGGAAAUUCACAAGGGGAAGUGAAGUUACUGACUAUAAUAAAUUACUGAUUACGACCAUUUGAGGAAGAUAACGGUAUUAUUGAAUAAUUACUAGUGUCAACAUUAAGAAGUUACGAAGACAAAGCAAUGUAAGAUUACUGAGGUCAAUAUCGAUUACAAGUUCCAUCUUUUGAGACAAUUUAGGAUAAGUUACUAUGCUGAGGUGAUCGAGAUUCUCACGGCACACAGUCUACGGCUAAACUAAUAUGUGAAAAAUAAAAAACAUUAACUCUAGGUGCAAUUCAAAUUAUGCCAAGACAGUUAAAUUUCAAUUACUACGUACAAGAACUAUAAAAUAUGACCUUUCUAGGGAAAUUAUAAUACCAUUGAAAAUCUCUUAAAACGAAGUCAUUUACCUUAGAGGAAGUACUUUAAUUUACCUUUGAAAUGAGUAAUUUAGCUUGCAAGUAAAGUUCAUAAAUCAGCUUAUUGUAUCGUAGAAGCAAAAUGAAGUAUGGAAAUUAUAUCUUGCGUUCGUAAAUUAAUUUCUUGUAUCAGAACGCUCAGUUACUUGCGACAGCAGGUCAUUUAAUAUAUUCAUGGCAUACAGCAGGGGAUACAAUCCUGUACUUUCCUAUCAUUGCAUAUUCAUUAUCAACAAAGUGCAACUUACAGACAAUACAGGCUCGGAGACUUCUUAAGUCGUCUCGAUCAGCAAGAGCAUCGAUGUUCCUCGACAAUGAACAGAACAAAGACCAAAGUAUAUAUGUUUCGAACCUUGAUAUAAAAAAAACUCUUCAUUGCAUUAACUCUUCUCGGAUCACCGUCAACAUGGAGAUGCACAAUGGAAGAACCAGAAUCUCACCAAACAGUGAUCCCCCUUUAUUUUCACUUCUUGCCACGCCAUUCCUCUGUCACAUGCAGGAAAAAAGAAUGGAGUGAUGGGAUCUAUUCCUGUCACUCCAAGCAUGAACUCGAUCCCGCUUGGUGCAUGAACGUCUCAACUCAGCAGCUCAUAAGCAGAGGGUAAAUCAUGCAAGGGAUGGCCUUUCCGGUUUCUCACCAUUAUUCUUCUUGCCAGGGAAUGCUUCCCAACUGCCAAGACUCCAGAACCUCUUGCUGUUCUUCCAACAUGGCGGACAUAUUCGCUCAGGUCGCACAGGAAGUUGAGGAGAAUAACAUGAUCCACUCUGGUAAAGCUGAUUCCUCGUGACGCCCUGCCAUAUGGUUCAAAAAUCAUCAGGAUCUUGCAAAUACUGAAGGAAAGAGGAGAGUGACUGUCUUAGGUAAAUUUGUAUGUGUCCAGUGACCCUGCCAAUAGUUAAAAGUGCCUGCCUUUUAUUUGACUGUGUCGCAAACAGUGCUGUUAAAAUCACUAGGCACUGUUAAGAGGCUCAGACCCCACGGUGCCUCAGGCGCUGGGCUGAACAAUGAGAGGUGCUAAGUAGAAAGUGGGGAUUAAUCCAUCACAAAACAAAUUAUUAGGUCUUUUCACACUUAGAAAUCACAAGUUAUUCGAGGUCUGCAUUGAAGCACAUAUUGCACUGGUGCAAGACGUUAACCUAGACAAAUCUUUUCUGAGGCAAUACCUCAGAGGAGCACCUCAUCUCAGGUGCUUACCUCAAACAAAGAAACCUUGCCUGAGAUGAGGUGAGGAGCAGAGGCUUCGCGUCGCUUUGCCUGAGCGCCUAGGUGAGUGCCUUGCUAGCACUCAGCUCUUGCCUAUCAAAGAAAUCGAACUGAGCCCAAUACCAGAAAACUUGUAAGUACAGGCCCAAUCAUUCACAAAACCCACAAGACAGAACAAGGCCUAUCCCCGCCAAUACUAUUUUCAUCUAGUUCUUGUUGAGACUGAAUAAUCAUUAAAUGUGCAAGCUUAAACUGAGAACUGAAGGCCUGGGUCUUGGCAGGCCAUGCAUGGUUUAACUAAAGGCUCACUAGGGAUCAAUCUCGGCCACAGAACAGAUCUAUCUCUAAAAGCAUAGUUUGAAUGGCAUCGGACAAAGCAACCAUACAUACCUGUCGGUGUAAACCAAAAACAAGGAGACAUCUUUAGAUGGAGAAGCAGAAAACUCUUUCAUAUUUGCCUGUAGUGACUUCUGAAACAGCAGCAUGAAAAGGUAGAACUUGGAUAAGAGUGCCUUCUCUGUAAAUUUGUUCAAUGCAUUUUCAACUUUCCAACAUGUGUCAAUCUGUAUAGAGAAGAGGAAGGAUGAAUUCAAAGUAAUGAUGAGUCCUCCAUCCAGCUGGUUUCAGAGCCUUCUCUCAAACUCCAGCUCAGGAGUUGAGGUGAAUGUAAUGAUGAGUCAAUUUCAAGCAGCCUAUACUGAAAAAUCAACAUACCUUGUUACAGAAAACAAUUGUUUUGGUUACUGGGCUUUCUUCCGCAAGCUGAAUAAGACCAGACUUCUUAUUCAGGUAUGCAGUAGUUGGAGUCUUUUCACCAUCUUCCUCUUUACAAUCUAUGAGAAACUGGACAUGACAUGUAACUGUCAAAUUCGCCUCUAUUACAGUGGUAUUCCAUUAGUUUUCUUCUUGACAGGAAAAUGGGAGGAAUGGAAACUAGUUAGCUCCCACGGCAAAUUUAUGUAACAUGUUCAUCAAGGGGAGAGGACAAAGCAAUUUCAUGUAACAGAAGAUUACUCUUCAACCCAAAUGAGAAAGCUCUCAGCCCAUCUAGGAUACUGUUGCGAAAAUAACCCUUCUCCAGUAUAUGCAGCCUAAAUUAGUUCGUACAAUACCUCUCUACAAAAUAUAUAUAUAUAUUAAGAUUCAACAAACUGGCAAAAUGAAAUUAAAACAAUUUUCCGGACAACUGCACAAACUCUUCUGCAAAUUGAGGAAAGAAGAGAAACAGAUCGGACCCUAAUAUAAUCCUCAAUCCUCUUGGCACAAUCAAUGAAAUUUCAGAGACUUCUCCUGAUUUUAUUUUUCUUCAACUCCAAGCAGAUUAAAUGACUUACAGAAUGCUGGAGGCACCUUUAGAUAGCAUAGACAGCUUUUUGGCCAAAAGAAUAGUAUAGACUACCAAUAAACAUGUGCUAAGAGUCAUUCAAGGAAAAAAAUUUCAUUCCACUCUUCAUCCACUUUCCAUCUUCCCUUGUCAAUAUGCAGUAACAAUCCACCCCCAAAUCCAAAGCAUCAACAUAAAAACUUGCUCCAUCACUUUUAGGGAGCACAAACUACAGCUUAGUUAUGAGUAAUAUAUUGUCCCAAAGCAUCCAGAAAAAUGUACAGACAUGGAAGUGAAUCCUUUUGUGCCUAGAUUAGAUAAUAGUAAUGUAUCCAUUGGCAAAUAAUGGAAAGGGGAAUAAUACAGCUUUAGACCAACCUCUUCAAGGUGAGGGCAUGUCCGAUGAAUGCCAGGUCCUAUGAUCACUUCACAGUUGAGAAGAAUUUCAACUAUUUCGUUAUAUAUAUCUACCUGUGCGGCGACAAGUAAAGAAUUGAUUAUGCUUUGAAACGCUGCUCCAAACUCCUCAUCAUAAAAGAUACUAUUCAUAGCAGCAGUUGCAAAACAAUCUGCAACAUGUAUAAAGAUACUAUUCUUAUAGAGCUCUUUGUUUGUAGCUUAGCAUGGACUCAAAUCUGCUAAAUGCCAAAAUCAUCCAGACUUUGAUGUCAUUCAAAUUCUUAGCAGGCAAAUCCAUUAGCAAAAGAUUUUUUAACUUCAUAUCUAUAUCAAACAAUAUGACGAGUGGAGCUUUCUCAAUUUGUCAAUUGUCACCAGUCAUUUCUUGAGGAAAUCUAUCAGGGCUAACAAAUGGCAAUAUAUAUAGCAAUUUUGUAAAUCAAAGCAAAGGUCUCCAUAACUCAAGCCAGAAAAUCAAGAUUCAGCUAUGUAUAUGUAAGAAUAGAAAUUUCGCUAAUAUUUUCCUUUCCUCGGAGAAUGGUGAUGAAUCAUGGUGGCAGUACUAAAUCUAGAAAACAGUAGCACAAUCACAUUCGUUACUCAAAAACAGAUGAGAAGACGAUAAUUUUGAAUAGCUCAUGCACCCAAACUUAUUUGUGCAACAUUAUACGAUGCAUAGGCUUACCAUCCAAGAUCUUUCGACUCCAAAAAGCCCUCUUUAACAAGAAAAAUAAAGCGACCAAGUGUGGCUAUUAGGCAUCAAGACCUUUUAUAUUUUCCAGCUGAGUUUUUUUCCUGAAACUGCCCAUGGCAACCAUAGACCAGAAUGGAGCCCCAAACUUCGAUAUGGAUUGGCAGUUACUCAAAACCUGCAUAAAAUUUACUAUAGAUAUUAAGUAUCGCUUAUGUGGAUGCAAAAAUUUAUGUUAGGUUUGUCAUCCACUACUGGCAAAAACAAGCAUUGCUAUACAUAAAACCAACUACAGAGUAUCUCCAAAUUCAGAACGCAUCCAUUUUCAACAGCUCCAAGGAGAUUACCAGUUUUGCCACAUGAGUGGAUUGUGCACAUCAUUAAGCAACUGUGUGCCACUCAAAUUGUAUAUUUGUCUUUCCAGAAACCCAGUACAAUCUUUCAGAUUGCAAGAAAUCUCUUCUUUUUUCUUAUUUGAAAGAAGAGAUGACAAUUUGAGUAAAAUAGACAAGUUGUCAAAAACACACUGACUGCCACCAAAAAUGAAUUGGAGUUCUUUUUUCACCACAAAUUGGCUGCUUAAGCAAUGGCCUAUCAUAGUAUAAAAUGAGAGUUUAAAAUGGCCAUAAACUAGUAAAAGUCAGUGACCUGCUUGCCAAAGCACAUAAGGGUAAAAGAAAAGGCACAAGAAAGGAUACUAACUGCCAACCUGUGAAGCUAACUCAACAACUAGCACCAAAAUGACAACUUAAGGGCUUCGUGAGAAUGAUUUGCUAAGUCCUUGCAGCUCUUCUUGCCUGACGUUGGACUACUGGUGCAAGAUAAGCGAGUGUUUUUCUUGAACCACUCUGAUCAGCUAUAUUACAAGUGUUUCCCUCAAUUACAGGUUUAUAUGCAAUCGCCUGGAGUCAUCAAUAGUUAGCAUCAAUCUGAGUUGCAGUACAUAAGGAGAAGUUCUUCCUUUUGUCAAAGAAUAGAUAGAACAUCUCAAUGCAAUUACUUAUCAAUACUUAUGCUAAUGAAAAGACAAAAACUGACGCUUUAGGUUGGCCCCUCAAUGACUUCCACAUCCAUCAGCUCCAAAUUCCAAUUUACAGAUAAAAUAUUAAUGAUGACGAAUGCAAGCUUACAUCUAGAACUAUACAAAAACAAGGUCAUCAUUGAUUUGAAGCUCAAUGUGGAUAUUAUGCAGACAGUAGAUAUAAUGAUGAUUAGAAAGUGCUCAUGUUUAUUACAUUGCCAGCUAAAACAGCAGUAAGGAAGCAAUGACCAAGUUCCUUCCAUUUUCCCAGCAGAAAAAGCAACAAGCUGAAACCUUACUUUGAGUAGGUCAUACUAUUGAUGUACCUGAAUAUGUGAGGGGCACAGAAAAUGCUGCUUCCUCAAAGAUUCAAUCAUAUACUCACUACAACCCAAAUCUUCAAAGGACUUUCGACCAUGGAAGUCACUAUUGGAGGAAACUUUCCUAUGCAAACUUAGAUCUUUCGAGUCAGAUCUAAAGUCAUCCAUGGACACCCCCCUGCCCCAUCCUCUGAAAUCUGCAUAAGAACUACAAACUGAACGCUUUGUUCCAAUUACUCUGGUGGUAGAUGUGCCAUGUUUAUUGGGUUCCUUUCAGUGCAGUGAACAAUCCAUAUCUUUUAUGUCUGUCCUUGCUGCAGCGUCUUUGGCAGCUUUGGAUUGGUAAGCACUUGAAUCCUUUCCUCCACGUCAAAGGAUAGCUGCUUCCUUCUGUUUCCCCAGUAGGUCCAAUUUAGAAAAAGAGAGAUUAGGCAUAUCAAGAGGUACACUUUCUACUACUGGUUCAUAAUCUUUGCGAUUCGCUUGUUUUAGCUUGGAAGAUUUUUCAGCAAGAGAUUUAACUCUCAGCAAUUUCAGUCGUCCAAAACAUCUGCCUAGACCACUCACACUUGCUGUAGGAGAAUAUCAUCUUUCGGCAGGGUUGACCCAUGAUGAUUGCCUGUAUAAAAGAAAAAGAAAUGACGGUCAGACUACAUUUUAUCGUAGGAAAAACCAAAUUCUUCUCCAAGCUCUGACUUUACACAUUGCACAGAGGGAUUCGGAACGCUACAAGAAAGUCUUAGCACAGAUUGAAAUGGGAGAGAAAUUUCUAACUCUGUUUGCAUACAUCUGUUUUCAAGGCAGCCUAAGAAAACCAAAAAAUCAUUUACCCAAGACUGUAUAAUUCAGAUAAGCUCCAAAAGAAAAUCUAAUGUUGGAUUUGUUAUCCUCCAUCUGAACACAAUGCGUAUAACAAAUCGUUGGAGUCGUUGCAAGAGCUUGGAUACCAAUUAUCAACAAUGCAAAAAAAAAAAAAAAAAACCAACAAGGAAUAGGGAAUUCGUCAUCAGAACCGACUGCAUCAGUCAUUCUGACUUGCACAUUCACAUCAAACACGUCUACAGUCAAAUGCGAACUACGCAAGUUAACAGCUCAAUUACAGAGAUAAAUCCAACCCUACCGUCUCGUCGUCAAUUGGCUGGUAGGCCCCCGCCCGAGUCUCCGAGGGCCAAGGCUCAGAUAUUAAAAAUACCCUAAUCUCUUCCAUGUUGAAUAUUCAAGAGUCCGAAUCCCUUUUCUCAAGUAAUUGACUUGGAGUCGUCAUCACCCAAUAUAACUUCUGGGAUUUCGCGGAUGAGGGGCCAAUAGUGGCCGGUCCCUUUCCUGCAUCGCUCCUCCAGAAUCUCACAUCCCGAGAUCCGGAGUUGACAUAGGGAGGGAAGGAGGCCAUCUUGGGGCAACUCCCUCAGCUUCGGGGCAACCCAAGAUAAAUAAGGUCUGGAGAGAGGGAGGGAGACUGGUGGACAUUCUUUCCACGUUCUUCAUGUCAAAGAUAUAGAGCUGGGACAGAGAGGAGGAAGGGAGCGGAAGCACAAGAUCCUCCUCCUCUCCCACUCCUCCCACGCUGCCGUCGAUCGCUAGAACUAGAAGGGAGGUGAGGGAGGUAAGCCACUCCUUCAUCGGCUGCUUCAUAUUCUCGCAUCCAAAUAAAAAAAGCACCUCUAACUGGAGUGGCAAUCCUUCAUCGGGGAAGCGCGUAAUACUCUCACACCCAUUAAUAUCCAGAUGUCGAAGACUCGUGAGUCGAUGCAAUUGAUUAGGUAACGAUUUUAUCUUCGGACAAUCCCCAAGCUCAAACGUCGAGAUGCCGGGAGGAAGAGGAGGGAAGCACUCCAGCUCUAGUGCAGGACACUCCCCCAAUGACAAGAAAGUGAGAUGGGACAAUGUGUGCAGCCCCUGUGGUAAGCUUCUCAAAUUUGUACAAGAUUUAAUUAUAAUCCUUUUAAGCGACUGAAGGCGGUCCACAUGUAUCUCCGCGAGCGACUCCAUUCCCCCACACGACUCAAUUUCAAGUGUCGUGAGGGUCGCAGGUACAAAUCUAUUCUCGCUGAAUGGAGAGACCGACGGAGAAGUGCAUUCGUAGAUAUUUGAAUUUUGCAAAUGAAACGUCAUGUCACUGUGGUUAUUGCUGCUUGGUUCAUCCAUAUGAACACUUGAUCCUCCAAAUAAAGAUAAUAACAUCUUGCAAUCUCGGAUAUUUAAUGAUAUCAUUGAUGCCAACAUACCUAUUUCAAGGAAGGACACAAGUUUUGGACACUCCUCAAUGGUCAAGUCUUGAAGAGAGGAGAGGGUAUAAAUCUUGCUUGGGUGCUUCUCUAGAUUGAUGCAAUUCCGCGAGUCCAUAGUCUCCAACUUGCUACACAACUCUAUAUCUCCUUCUCCAGUUGAAAAUGAUAUCAAUUCAUGACAACUUUUGAUAACUAAGCUCUUUAGACAAGCGAGAUUUUGAAUUACAUCUCUCUCUUGCCACAAGUAUAUCAAAUUUUUACAACUUUCCAUCUCCAACUUCUCCAGCUUCACUAAGGAGCUUGUAAACCCAUAAUUUAAACAAGUUAAUUCACUAACAUCUUGUAGGACAAGAGCAGUUAGAGAUGUCAAGUUUACCAAACUCUUCAACACUCCCUCAUUACAACCUCUAAAGUUUAAUUCAUUGAGGGAUGGAAGGCUAUAAAUAAAGGAUGAGGCAUCCAUACGAGGACAGGAGUUGAUUUCCAGCUUUCGGAGGGAGCUUAGUUGACUAGGCAAUCUUCCAAUCAACAUAGGACAAUCCCGAACAACCAGAUACUCAAGACAAGGGAAUAAAACUCCUAAUUCUUCAUUGCCGACGCAAUGAGACCAAUCCUCCCACAAUGGCAUGUCCUUGAAUUCCAAAGUCAUUAAGGAUGGAAAAGGAUUUUUAGUUUCAUAAAAUUCAGACCCUACCAUGCGUAUUGCAUUUAGACUUUCGAUGUACAAUUCUUUUAAAGAAGAUAAUUGUCCCAGUGAGGCUAAUGCUUUGGCCCGACAACACCCAUGUAAACGUAAAUGCACCAUAUUAAUAUAUGAGGGACUUCCUAACCAUGAUGAGAAUUCUAGGCCACCAUAGUAGGAUAUUGCGAGAUUUUCAAGAUUUGGGUGAGGGCGAAGAAAGUCAAGGACUUUUGCUUCAAGCUCUUCAUUUCGGAAAUUUCCAAAAUCUUUGCACCAUUGCAUGGUCAACUGGCAUAUUCCCUCCUUCAUGCAUAAAUUGGCAUCCAUGGCAUCUCUGGCUUCUCGUACCUUAUGCAAGUUUGAGAUGCACAAUUCCCCUCCAAGGUUCUUUAGGCUUUCUAACUCCUUCAACCUUGACCCUGCUUCCAUUCCCACUACAAAUUUGGAUAGCAUCUCAAGACCCACCAAAUUACCUAUAUAUUGCGGCAUCGCUUUUAGGCUCGGAGUGUCGGUAAAGUCGAGAAAUUUUAAAUUGAUUAGCUUCUCCACACCUUCUGGUAAUUCAGUAAGGUUUUGACAUCCUCGUAACAUCAAGGCUUCUAGGUAGUACAAUGCAACAAUUGACUUUGGAAGGGUUUCAAUGUCAGUAUAUGACAAAUUGAGGCACCUCAAGUGCCUCAGUUUGCCAAUGCAAUCCGGUACCUCUCUGAUGCGACAGUGACGUAAUGAAAGCACCCUCAAGUACUUCAAUUCGGAUAACAAGUCACCUAACACUUUCUCAGAUAAAUAAGUAGGUUGCUUUCUUAACGAUAUGAAGCUCCUAAGUCCUUUCAUUCCAUGAUACAUCUCGAAUAAUUCUGCGAUAAUUUGACGAUUGCAAAUGAAUGAGGCAUAACGAGCUAAAGAUGCAUUAUUUUGAUAAUCGUCAUAAUCAAACUCCUCAAAGCUAAAACAAGUUGCACCGGCAACUAGCUUUGCGAGGUCAUUCACAAGAUCAUGCAUCAAGAAUCGUGAUUCGUUGCUACUCAACUUUUGAAGUAACGAUCUAGAUACUAGCUCGUCAAAAACUUUCAAACCUGCAUUCCAAUAGUUCUUUCCUUCUUUUCCCUCCAACAAGCCCUCUGCAAUCCAGUAGUGAAUCAACUCAUCCCGUUCAAUUUCAUGAUCCUUGGGAAAUAUAGCGCAGUAAGCGAAACAUCUCUUCAAAUUUGAAGGGAGAUGGAGGUAGCUAAGUUUCAAGGCCGGAAGGAUAUCAUUACUUUCUUUUGGUAGAUCCCAAAUUUUGCUAUCCAAUAUAGCUUGCCAUUCAUGGGGACUAACUUUAAAGCUCAACAACCCAGCCAAAGUCUUCACGGCUAAUGGUAACCCUCGGCAUUUUUCCACUAUUUUCAUACCUAAUACUUCAAGAUUUGGAUGAUGAUCAAAAUUUCCCACUCCAAGAGCAUGAAAUGCAAACAAAGUCAUACAAGAAUCUUGUGACAACUCUUUGAGAAUAUAAGGUUGAGCACGGGCUAUUUCAGCAACGCGAAAACUACGAGUUGUGACAAUGACCUUGCUUCCCUUCACUCCCGAUUGAAAGGGCUUCAAGAGGAUAGUCCAGUUGCCAUAAUUCUCAUUCCAAACAUCGUCUAAAAUGACAAUAAACUUCUUCCCUGCAAGGUGUUCCCUGAGCUUACCAUGAAGCCAAUUCAGGUCCUUUCCUUCACAGGGCAAAUGGUCAUUCACUAUCUCAAGGAUCUUCUUUGUAAUAGCAAGCGCGUCAAAAUCAUCGGAAACACAAGCCCAUGCUUUCACAUUGAAAUAGUCGGUGACUCUAGCAUCAUUAUAGACUUGCUGAACCAAAGCCGUCUUCCCAAUACCCCCCAUCCCUACUAUGGGAAUCACUUUUAGAUCUGCACAUGUCCUAUCAUCUUCUUCUUCUUUGGUCAACAAUUCAAGGAUCUUCAUUUUUUCAACCUCCCUGCUAACAAAACAAGGCUCGGACAAACUUGUAGUGUGAAGCCGCUUAUCCACUCCUACGUAUGCCACUCGCUUCCCAUUGUUCUCUCUCAAGCUCAAAGUAUCUUUCUGAGUGAUGAUAUCCUUUAAUCUACCAUCCAUCUCUUCUAUCUUGGAUCUCAUUUUAUGAUCAAACAUAAAUGCUUUCAGGCUCAAGCUAAAGCAACAACUAGGAAGAAGGGAACGUGCCUUGCUAGUGCCGGGUUCUGCCUUGGACUUAUUUUUCACGGACUCCAUGGCGAACUCGUCAAGCAAGUCUUCGAUGUCAUAGACCAAGUUCCUGAGAUCUUUAAGCCACAACUUCACAUCGGGAUCGUCGGUGAGUUGCCUAUCCUCUGCAUCAUCCAACGCCUUGUUGAUGCUAAUCAACAUCUUCUCCCAUUUCUUCAGCAGCGUAUCUAUACCCUCGCGCCGCGCAAAGUUGAGAACCUCGUGAGAGGCCAACCUUUCGAAAAGCACCGAAAGAAAGGCGCCAAGAAAGAGCUCUGCGAUGGGCAUGGCUUGGCUCACGAGUGGCAGAGGAUUAAACAAGAGUGCUGAAAGGGUCGAAACAAAGUGCAGAAAGCGGAGAGGAAACAAAAGUUCUUCCGUCCAGGACAAUGAGAUGAAAUGAUGGUGUGAAUCAAAGACUUUUUAAGCACUAAAGCGCUCUUUCUUUCUCGGAAGAAGCUGCCGUAGCAUUUUUUUCCAUCUCUUCCUCGCUGAUUCCAUUUCAUUUCUGUGGACUCGAUUUCUCGGAAGCAAGUUGGUCGGAUGUGGGACCGAGUCUUGGCAUCAUUGAAGCCUCCAUGCAUCGAAAGUUCCAAAAAUUAUUCAGUUGAUUGCUCAACAAAUGUCCAGAAAUACUUGAUAAAAGAAAAAUCAUUUUUGACUAAUGGCUAGAAAGAAAAAAACCGUUGCUUUUCUUAAUUACUAUGGUUGCUACUUAGCUUCGCUCUCUGAAAAGUACAUUACGCGUUAGAUUAGCAGCCAAAUAUUGAGUGGGCAUAAAUCAAAUUAUAUUGCAAACUUUCAAGCACCAUUUUCUUUUUCCCUUUUAUAAUGAUUAUAUUCACACCAAAGCGUCCUCAUUUUAUUUAGUCCGUGCGUCAUUAAAAUAUGCUUACUGUUUUGCCAACCUAACUACAAUUCGUCCACGAGGUAAAUAUUUUAUCCAAAGAUGGACAAAUUGAUAAGUUUAAUUAAUUACAAGGUUUAAGCGGUGGUUCAAGAAGUGGGUUAGCCUGAGGACGCUGUUUAAGGGGGGUUUAAGAAAUGGGAGAGGACCUUAUGUGGAGUUGCAGAAGUUAUUCUCUAUCUGCCCUCUUUACCAUGUGCGGUUGCAGGCCUCGUGUGCUAAGCAUCGCAAGAAGGGGAGGUGAUUAUGGCAGGACAUGUGCGAAAGCCAGGGAAUCAAACUUUGAUAAUUCAUGUAUUACUUUUCUAUUUUCAUUGCUCUUUUUGAGCAAAUAAUUUAUUUAUUAAACGCCAUUCACUCUCUACCCUCUUCACCAUUCCCAGAUAGAGGCCCCAUGCGCAAAGCAUAGAAAGAAGGGUGAGCAUAUGGCAGGACAUGCGCAGAAGCCAAGGAAUCCAACUUUUAUAUUUCAUAUCUUACUUCCUAUUUUCAUUGCUCUUUUGUACAAAUAACUUAUUUUAAGCAAGGAAUCGAACUUUUAUAAUUCAUAUUUUACUCCCUGUUUUCAUUGCUCUUUUGUACAAAUAACUUAUUUAUUACUCUCUCUCUCUUUCUCUCUCUCUCCCCCCCCCCCUCCAUGUAUAUUACUUUUCGAUUUUCUUUGCUAAAUAAAAUUUUAGUUUACAUGUUGUUCUUUCGAUGUUUGAUCCCUUCUUCCACUCCUUCACACGGUACUUUUUGUUGUCUGGCCUCCGUUUCUCGAUGCCAAGAGAUAUUUGUUCAUAGCGAAAUUAUAAGGUCGUUGUUGAGAUGUUGUCCUAUCCUGAAUAAUGUGCAUGCUCUUUAGGGUGAAGUGCACUCGCCCCACAAUAAAGUGGUCACUUUUAUUAAAAGGAAGUGCAUGCUUCUCGUGAUAAUAUACCCUCUCAUUCAUAAGGAAAAAUUACCAAAAAAAAAAAAUUUGGACUUACUAUAAUUAUAUAAUCUCAGUCCUAAGUAUUUUAAUUUGGUCAAGAAACAGGUUUAGGACUAGUGCUCAAUCCAUGUUUAUCCUUCAACAGUGGUGGAAAGAUCUGAGAUUGUGGUGACUCUGACCAGUAAAGUAGACGCACUUUUUUUAUGGAUCACAUUUGCUAUACUUGCUAUUACUCGAUUGUUCAUAAGUCCACUAUUCUUGUCUUGAUUGAGGCGACGGGCUUCUUUGUUAUUUAACCUUUGGCUGGUGACGACUUGGAGCAAUCUGCUACCAAGCUUUCAGCUUCCCAGGUAAUUGACUGAUUUUUAGUUAAGGUCUUAACUAAGGUUAAGCUACGGUGGUCCAUAGUCCAUCCGCAUCUCUUCUUUCUAUCCUCGUCAUUCGGGUCUCUAGUCACUCUAAAACUCGGCCUAUGAUAAUUAAAUAUUCCAGAAAAAAGUUGCUGUGCUUUUUUUUUCUCCGCCGAUUGCUCCUUCGCACUCCCCUUCCUUCGUUCUUGUUUGCACUCGAAUCUCUACACCUUCUUAAUCUCUCAUCGUUGAUUUCAUUUGAUUUAAUUUAAUGGGAGCAAGUUGGUCAAUAAUGGCAUCCUGGUCUUGGCAUUAUUAAGGCUGCUCUCUCAAUUUCUUUCCCACUCAUUUUUUGUACCCACCCAUCAUCACCAUGCAUCACAUAGACAUAUUGGCAUCAUCGUCUCAUUGACGCGGUCUCGUACAUCGGUCAUAUAAGUCCCAACCAUUAUUCCAUAUUACAUGAGAACUCAAUGCAUUAAAAACUGUAUAAUUUACUUAGCUGGUCAUCAAGUGUCCAGAAAGACUAGUUAAUAAUUUUUUUUUAAAAUAAUGACUAAAAAAAUUGUUACUUUAUCUUCAUUACUGUCAUUGCUACCUAGUUUCGCUCUCUAAAAGAUACGUUAUGCAUUAGAUUAGUGGCAAAAAAUAGAGUGGUUUGGAAUCGAAUUAAAUUGCAAACCUUCUAACACCAUUUUCUAUUUUUCCCCUUUUAUAAUGAUUAUACCCAUAAUGAAGCUUUCUCAUUUUAUUUGGUCCGUGGGCUCAUAUUAAAAUAUGCUUAUUGUAUUGUCAGCCUAACUACAAUUCGUCCAACGGAUAAAUAUUUUAUCCAAAGAUGGCCAAAUUGAUAAAUUAAAUUAUUUAUAAGGUUCAAGGGGUAAGAAGUGAGUCAGCACGAGGAUGCGGUUCAAGGGGUGGUUCAAGAAAUGGGGGCCAGACAACAACAAGAAUUAUUGAGCGAGGAAGAGGAAGAAGGAAUCAAACGCCAUUCUCUCUCUACCCUCUUCAUUAUUGCCGGAUGCAGGUCCCAUGUGCAAAGCAUCGAAAGAAGGGUAAUUAUGGCAGGAUAUACGCGUAAGUCAAGGAAUCAAACUUUCAUAAUUCCCAUGGGGUCAUUGGUCUUCUGCAUAGAUAAUUUAUAUAUUACUCUCUCUCUCUCUCUCUCUCUCUCUCUCUCUCUCUCUCUCUAUCCAUGUAUAAUACUUUUCAAUUUUUUUUCUUUUAUUUAGAGUUCAUAUGUUAUUAUUGUUCUUCCCAUGCUUUGCACAUGGGACCUGCAUCUAGGAAUGGUGGAUAAGGUAGAGAGAGAAUGACGUUUGAUUCCGUCUUCCUCUCCUUCGCACAGUACUUCUUGUUGUCGUCUAGCCCCCAUACCUUGAACCAGCUAAGUACAUGACAUCAAGAGAUAAUUAUUUAUGAAGAAAUGACAAGGUUCCUAUCGAGAUGUAGUCUUAUUCUAAAUAAUGUGUAUGCUUUUUAGGGUGAAGUGCACCCUCCUCACAAUAAAUUGCUCACUCUUUUACGGUGAUUUGCACAAUCUUGUUCACAUCAAGUGCAUAAUCCUUAAAUGUCAAAGUGCAUUUCCUUCCUAGAGUUGAGUGAACACUCAUUAUAAUCAAGAGUGAACUCCUUCUGACAUCUGAAUUAAUAACGUGCCUCUUUUGAUGAGGAGCAUGUCUCUUAAGCAGGUUGAUGUUGAUGAGACACUCAUAAUGUUCCUAUUGUUCUAUCAAUUUAAUUUCGGAAUUCUCUAGGAAGUCAAUGUUUGCUUUCUAUUGUUGUAGGAACUUGAUAAUCUAAACUAGAUCUUGUCCAAUACAAUUAUUUGUGAAAUAGAGAUGAGAGUUUUCUAUUAUUUUAACCAUUGUUUGAAUUUCAGUGUAAGUUCCCACCUAAAAAAUCCUAAUUUAGAGCAAUUGACCCUUUUGUGCCUUGACUCAAAAUUGAAGCAAUGAACAUCUAUCUAGUGGUUGCAACUUAGCCUUUGAUGCUCUGUGCAGCCCCUGAUCCAUAAUCUGCUCUAACUCUAGGGAAGGCCACGAUUAAGAGUAAUCCCAUCCUCUCCUUUCCAACAAAUGGUCUCUUCUUGUACGGCUCUUUAGAUGAUAAAUAAAUGAUAAUGCUCUCCAGCAGAAUAUUAAAAAGUAUAGUUUGAUUGAUUGAUUGUUUAAACUGGAAUACUAUGCAUGUGUCAAACUUUUCUUAAUAUGCCGCAUAUGAUCCAUUUGUUUAAAGGUCUAUUUGUAGUAUGCUAUAUUACUUGGUGUAUCAAUCUAAUUGAUUGCUCCAAAAAUCAUCUAGCUUUGUCAUCUUUACAAAUGGAGAGCCCUAAUUAUCAUCAGUGAUAAAAGUUCGACAAAUUGGCUCAUUGUUCUUACUCUUUGAUAUUCUAUUCUCCUAUUUUUUCCAUAGCUUAAGUAGUUUAGACUCAAAGAUAUCCAUUCCAUUAACGAUAUGGUAUAGUGCAUAGCAAGGUUAAUCAUCCUUCAAACACGAAAUUGAACAUGAAAAAAUACAUAGGAUAUUCACAUCAAUCAAAUUCUUAUUUUUAAUCAAACAUUAGUUUAUUAAGACAACCAAAUACACCCAUAGUGGUCAAGUCAUUUACAUAGGAAGUUCAAAAAGGUCAAUUGAUAAUGAGAACAUGAUUAAAAUGCGACCAUUUUUUCAAAGUUCCAAUAUCAAAUGUUAGGAAUUUGAAGUUUUUAUCAUUUCUUGAAUUUAUUAUACUUAAUAGGGUAAGAUUGACUGUGAUUCCCAAUAAGGAUCCUAAUAUUUUAUGGUGUUCAUUAUUGUGCUUGAGUGCUAUGUUUUUCCCAUUGUUGCAGCAUCAUGAGAUGGUGGAAUUGAUUGUCUAUGAUAGGUACGCUAUUCAAGGAAGCAGCGGGGCCAAGACUGGGCAGCAUCGUCUUAUGUUAGCUUUCUUUAAUAUGAUUUCAAACAAACGUAAACCCACUUGAACACAAGUUGAAAACAAGAGCAAAUCUUUUCGAAGGGAUCCACAAUUUAAGCCAAUCUAGCUAAACUAUGAACUGGCUGCAUUAUCUUCCUUCCGUUAUUUACACCUAUACAGCAGGACACCGAUACCCUACUCCAUUGGGGAGAAGCUCUAAGCACCACUAAACAUGCGAGUCGAAAGACUUUCGCGUCGGUCCAACCAUCCUCCCUCCCCCUCUUCUCCUUCUUCAGUAUCGUAUGUUCUUUUUCAUCCCUCUCUAUGUCUCUCCGUCUUUUCAUUUGUGGGCUUCCUCGUCAUUUUCUCACUCUUUCUUUCUCGGAAGACGCUGCCAUUGCAUUUCAUCUCAUCUCAUUUGAUUUUUAAUUUCCUUUCUGUUGCCUCAAUUUCUCGGAGGCAAGUUGGUCGGAAGUGGGAACCAAGUCCUGGCCAUCGUUAAAGCCACCAAAGAAGGCUCGGAAGGUUAAAAAGUGGGCCCGAAACUUCACCUUUAUUAUCGUUCGUCAGUUCUGUCUCACCAUUCACAUCACGCAAAUUCCCAAAUGCACCCAUCCACCAUUGUCAUGCAUCACAUAGAUCAUAGGGCAUCAUGGUUUCACUGAUGCAGCCUCGCUAGCCCCAUGUCAUUAUCAAAUAAAGAAGCAGCCGUUCCCUAAACUUAAUAUAUGUAAAUCAGAUCAUCAUUAACCAUUGAUCAUAUGCGUCCGAACCAUUAUGCCACGUGACACGAAAGCCCGAUGCACUGACAACUGUAAAAUUUUUGUAGUUGAUUGUUCAGCAAGUGUCCAAAAACACUUGUCAACAAAACCGUUUUUAAUUGAUGAUCAGAAAGAAAAAAACGAUUACUUUCUCUUCAAUUGUGUUGUUGUCACCCAGACGUGCUCUCUCAAUCGGAUUAGACUAGAUGGAAAAAAAAACCAGGUGGCUAUAGAUCGAACUAAAUUGCAGACCUUCAAGCUUCAAUUUGUUUUUUUCCCCUUUUUGCCAAGCAACUAUGAUUAUAUUCAUAGCAAAGGCUCCUUGUCUCAUUUGGUCCAUGGGUAAAAAAAAAAUAUGCUUAUUGUUUUGUCUUGGGAAGAGAAAAACUACCUAACUUCAAUAUGCCCACCACCCAUUCAAAUAGGUGGAAUUUGGUAUAUACUUACGCAUACCCUAUUAUUAUAUUGUGCAUAAAUAUUACAUUAGUGGGUACACAAAUAACCGAAUGGCUCAUUUAUAGAUUUUGCUAUGGCAUUGCAUCAUGACAAAUGAUCGAUGUGGGGAGCACACUCUUAAGAUGGGGAGGUGGACUAAAUGAAUUAUGUGAAAGUUUGGUUUAGACACCACUUGAAAGCUAAAUACAAAAAGAAAAAAAUAUUCACAAAUAGUUCAUGGGUUUCAAGAUCAAAUAAAAUAUGAAAUUUCCAUGCUACAAAUUCAAAUAAGAUAUGCUUAUGUUAAUUAGGAGAACAAUGGAAGUAACUAACUACGAUCCAUCCACCACCUAAAUUUUCAUUAAACAUGGACAAAUGAAUAAAACAAUUCAAUAAGUUUAAUUAAUUAUGCCCUAUAAAAACAAGGUGUCAAAAGAUUUUUGUUUAUAGAGAAAUUACAAGUUCUUGUUGAAAUGCAUUUCUAUUCUAGAGAUGGUGCAUUCUCUUUAGGACAAAGUGCACCCUUUUCACAAUUAGUUGAAAAAGGUAGAGUGCGUGCGUUUUGCUCUUAUUCAGGUGAAGCGCACAUUCCUCAAAGGUCAAGUACAUGCUUUCUAGGUAUUUGAAACAGGGCAUGUAAUUGUUUGUGUUCCCAGGUCUUGGAAAAGUCAACAAAGGGAGCAAUUGCUUCGUGUCUGAAUUUACGUUGAAGUUUCCUACUAGUCUUCGUCGACUCGACGGUUAGAAAAGAUCCAUGGAAAAAUUGCCUUCUUCCUUUCUAGAAGCACUAAUGGUUAAAUAAUUGACACACAAAGAAGAAUUGUAUGCAUGUGUAAUUCGAAUCUUUCAUUAGGCAAGAUACAAAAUACUUUAUUAUCAAUUAGAUAUUUCAACCAAGCUUUAAUCCAAUUCUUGCCUAACUCUUAAAAAUAGUAGGGUUCUAUGAAUUUAGAAUUUAUCAAGGUAAGGGAGCUUUCUCGCUAUCAAGAGAAAAAAAAAAUCCAUGUUAGCAAAUAAUUUUUUUUCUAUGGAAAAUCAUUAAAUAUAAGUGUAAUUAAGGAUAACCUUUUUGUGGCCUUUUCCGUGGAAAAUUGCCAACUGUCAUUGUUUUAUGCCCGAAUUUUCUUGUUAGGAGAAGCUUCACGCUAACCAUUGAAAUCACGUGGCAACUUUUGAAGAACUUCCUGAUUAGGUACGUGAAUUACAUACGCCAAAUCUUUGACUUAAUGGCUCUUUCUCCAUUGUGCUAAACUUACUGGGCCCGAAAAAGAAGAAGAAACCGUGACAAAUUUGCACAUAGUCUAAUGUACAUUCAUUGAUGAGGGCGCAAGCAUCGUAGUUGACACACAAACACACUACAUAUUUCUAAUGUUGAACCAUCCUCAAUGAGAGGGUUUAAGUCGAGCACAUACGUGUCAGAAUUUCGACAUCUCUUAAUCUUGGAGCAGAUAAGUAAGCUCCCGUUUCCAUCUUCUGGAGCUUAUCUUGGGGAGGUUGUAGUGGCUUAUUUUGUGCCACCGUUGUCUAAUCUCAUCGCUGGUGGACAUGAUCAAAACAAGUCUUUACUUCUCCCACUUCAGUCUUGACUUGAGACACUUCAAACUGAACAUUUGACACCGUUGUGGUCAAAUGUUUUAAGUACCUCACUUAGGGCAAAAGCAUUUUUUGUUUGCCAAAUUAGAACAAACUCUGCGAGGGUGAUCCUUCUGGAGUUUCGGGCUGGAUCGACUCUAGUUAGGUUUCAGACCUUUAGGCGAUGCUCAUAUCAAAUCGUGUUUAUAAAUUCUUCCAAGGAAGAAAAAUUUUAUGGUUGAAACGUGCAAAUACUAAGCAAGUCUAAUGGUUAAAAUGCCCCUUAUGCUGUAAAACCACAGAGACUAAGGACGUUAGCAGAAUAAUAACUUACCGAAUCUAAUCAUUUAGCAAAUAUUAAACACCCAUUGAAAAUGAAUCUUAAUGCAAAACCAACCUUUCAUGUAAAUUUUAGAUUACGUGCCUUAAACUAAGAUUAACUUGCAAAAUGUCAUGCCACAAUUUCCAAAAGAAUAAUUAUCAACAAGGUCAUUAACCUAUUAUACAUAUGUCAUUUCAGUCAAUAACCUUUCAAUUUAAUCAAAUUUAAUCAUAAACCUUUUAAGAAAUUAUCAAUAUAGUCAUUUCAGCUAAUUUUACGCAAAAAAUUAUUAAUGGGGAUACUAGCCAUCUUACAUGGCACAGGUAGUGCUAAUAUAAAUAAUUUUUUAUAAUUUUAAAAAAAUGUGAAUUUUUUAUAUUUUUCAUAAUUUUCGCCACACCCCUCUAGCCAACGAGGGCUCACAGGCCUUCUUUUAGUGGCCGUUGCUGGUCACAAUGAAAAAACAGAACAGAAAAUUUAUACAUCGGCAGGUUGGUUAGUGUUUAUUUCCACCGGGCAAUGACGCCAUCUCGUUUUCUCGGCGACUGCAGGUCAGCUCGCCGCUCGCCGCCGGCGACCUCGAAGAGCAGCAGUUGGCGAUUUUCGUCGACGGAUCUGGUCAUCGUUCAAAGUCGGCCUCGAUGGAGCUUGAUAUCUCGGGAUUCGAUACGCCUUCUCCAAGAAAGUGACGGUCGAUCCGGCCUUCACCUCCGUCGCAGUGCGCCACCAUCGUCACCGGCUGCGCAACGGAGGUCAGGCUCUCUCUGGCUUUAUCUAUCUGGCGAGUUGUCCACCGGCAUUGACAGAGCUCUCGCGAAUGAUUCGGUCGAGCUAGAGUUUACUCUCUCUCUCUCUCUCUCUCUCUCUCUCUCCCUCUCCCUCCAGAGCGGCUCCCGAAAAGCUCCGUCACCACCUCUCCAUAUCUGUCCUUCACCAUCAACGACUCCAGCUCGCCAGUAGGAUCUUCGCAAGAUACCUCGGAGGCGAAGAAGGAUUCAGAAGCGGUUUCAUGUUCAUCUUUGCUUUUCACUGGAAUCAACAGACCCUCGGACUCGGCCAGUCGGGGACCGACGAAGCUCAAUUUGGCACAUCGAAACUCGGAUAUUCACCAUCGUGCACGAUCGAGACUCUUAAUCUCUGAUCAUCUCAGGAUUCUGAUCCAUCGUUUCCUACUUCAUCGCCGAUAAUCAGUUUGCCGAAUAUUCCCCUGAGAAGCACGCGAUGCAGAGGAAGGACUAAGAAGCUGAUGACACGAGAGAAAGCGGAGCCGUGAAAUAGAGCAGUCGCUCGCCAUCGUCCAACGCAGCUUGACCGUCAGGCUUUAAUGCUCGUGGGCGGACGCAGCGAUUGCGAGUUCAGGCGAUGACGAAAUCCAUCUGCUAACAGCCGCACUUACCCAGGUCAUUUUCGGCUACUGCAUUGCAAAAUUCAACCAUCAAAUUUCGACACUAGAGAAAAUGCAAGGAGAGAAUCGGAUGAAUUCCAGGCGAUCGAUCCUGCAGGUUUAGCUAAUGAGAGAGAGGCCCGAUGCCAGUUAGAACAGCUCCUAAGCUUGCCAUCCGGAAAUGCCGAACUCGGGAAGGUUUUUACUCUGAAAUCAAGAAAGGAGGGUCCUAAAUAUGUGCACAUUGUUCUUGCUUCUUCGUAUCAGAUCGGCUCUCACUUCUAAACUCAAGUAGGAACUAAUGCUUUCUUAAGAUACUGCACAAAUUAGAAGUUUAUGGGCUGCAUUUUACAUUAAAUCAAAGUACAUGAGGAUUUAUGUUAUUAUCUCUAUUAAAAACGUGAUUGAUCGAUACAAAAAAUUCAUUUUAUUCUGGCCACAUCGUGCAAACGGACCGGCUUGGCUAAAAGAUGUAGACUACAAAAAUUGAGAGUUUGGCCCAAGGGCUUCCUUAUAAGAUGGUGCAGGAGAUGAAUGACACCAAGAAAGGCCCUCAAAGAAUGGAAUGACACUUUCAUUCUAGUCGGAUGGUCUUUUGCAUUUGCAUUCUUACAACUACAACACCCUAAGAAAAACUAUAUGGAGGUCAGUACAAAUUACAAGUUUUGCCUGUUGCAACAGUUUAAGAUAAGUUACUAUGUUAAUGUGAUCACGGUAUGAAGUCUAGAGCUAAACUUACACUAAUAACUACAGGUAGAUUACUCCAGGAUCAGUCAAAUUACAAUGCUGGAUUCAUAUUACCAGGUACAAGAACUAUAAGGUAUGACCUUUAAGGAAAAUUAUAAUAUAAGGAGUAACAUCUCUUAAGACGGAGUCAUUUACAUUUAGUGGAAGUAAUUUAAUUUACCUUUUGAGUAAUUUAGCUUGAAAGUAAAGUUGGCUAUGCAGUAUAAAGUUCAUAAAUUAUAUUUUGUGCUCAUAAAUUAGCUUCUUAUACCUUAACGCUCAGUAACUUGCUAUAGCAGAUCAUUUCAUAUAUUCAUUGCAUACAACAAGGGAUACAGUCCCGAACUUUCCUAUCAUUGCAUAUUCAUUAUCAACAAAGUGCAACUUCGGACAAUACGGGCCUCUGAGACUUCUUAAAUUGGUUUCGAUCCUCAAGAGCAUCAAUCCUCCUUGACAAUGAACUGAAUAAAGACCGAAAUAUGUAAGUUUUGAACCUUGAUAUCGAGCUCUUCAUUGCAUUAACGCUUCUGUGAUCCCCCUCAACAUGUAGAUGCAACAUGGGAGAAGCAGGUUCUAACCAAACAACUCCCUUUACGUUUUCACUUCUUGCCUCGCGCUGCUCCUCCGUAACAUGCAGGAGAAACAGAAUGGACUGAUGGGAUCUACUCCCGUCACUACAGGCAUGAACUCAGAUCCCGCUUAGUGCACGAACGUCCCAUCAACUCAUAACUGGAGGCCAUGCUAGGGACGACCUUUCCAGUUUCUCUCCAUUAUUCUUCUCACCAGGGAAACUUGCUUCCCAACUGCGGAGACGAACGCUUUGCCUUUCCCUCCAGCACCUCUCUCUGUGGCGGACAUAUUUGCUCGGAUCAUGUGGGAAGUCGAAGAGAAUAACAUGGUCCACUCCAGUAAAGUCGAUUCCUUGUAACGACCUGUCAUAUGGUUGAAAAAUCAUCAGGAUCUUGCAAAUACCUAAGGAAAGAUGAGAGUGACAUGUCUUAGGUAAAUUCAUGUGUUUCCAGUGACCCUGCUCUGCAUUCCGUUUGACUGUGUCGCAAACAGUGCCGUUAAAAUCACCAGGUGCUGUUAAGAGACUCAGGACCCACAGUGCCUCAGGCACUAGGCUGAACAAUGAGAGGUGCCAAGUACAAAGUGGGGAUUAAUCCAUCAACAAACAAAUUAUUAGGUCUUUCAUACUUAGAAUCACAAGUUAUUCGAGGUCUGCAUCGUAGCACAAAUUGCACUGGUGCAAAGAUCUUAACCUAGACAAAUCUUUUCUGAGGCAAUGCCUCAGAGGAGGAGCACCUCAUCUCAGGUGCUUACCUUAAAUGAAGAAACCUUGCCAUUACUAUUUUCAUCUAAUUCUUGUUGAGACUGACUCCAUUAUUAAAUGUGCAAGCUUGAACUGAGAACUGAAGGCCUGGGUCUAGGCAGGUUAUGCACGGUUUAACUUAAGGCUUACUUUUAGGGAUCAAGCUCCGCGGCAGAGCAGAUCUAUUUCUAGAAGCAUAGUUUGAUUGAUAUCGCACUAUGCAACUAUACAUACCUGUCGGUGCAAACCAAAAACAAGGAGACAUCUUUAGAUGGAGAAGCAGCAAACUCUUUCAUAUUUGCUUGCCGCAACUCCUGUGAAACAGCAGCAUGAAAAGGUAGAACUUGUGUAUCAGCGCCUUUUCUGUCAAUGCGCUUCAAUGCAUUUUCAACAAUUCCAAGCAGCCUUUACUGAAAGCUCAACAUAUCUUGUUAUAGAAAACAAUCGUUUUGGUUACUGGGCUUUCUUCCACAAGCUGAAUAAAAGCAAACUUCUUAUUCAGGAAUGUAGUAUCUGGAGUCUUUUCACUGUCUUCCUCUCCACUACAAUCUAUGAGAAACUGGGCAUGAUAUGUAACUCUUAAAUUCUCCCCUAUUACAAUGGUAUUUCGUUAGUUUUCUUCUUAACAGGAAAAGAAGAGGAAAAGCACUGGUUAGCUACCACAGCAAAUUUAUGCAACAUGUUCAUCAAGGGGAAGGACAAAGCAAUUUGAUGUAACAGAAGAUUACUGUUCAACCCGCAUGAGAAAGCUCCUAGCCUAUCUAGGAUUAAUGUUGCAAAAAUAAUCCUUCCCCAGUAUAUGCAACCUAAAUUAGUUUGUACAAUACCUCUAUACAAAGUUAAAUUCUGAGAAUCAAUGAGCUGGCAAAAUGAAUAGAAACAAUACUAAGGACAACUGCAAAAAUUCUUCUGCAAAUUGAGGAAAGAAGAAACAGAUAGGACCCUAAUAUAAUCCUUAAUCAUCUCAGCACAAUCGAUGAUAGGACCCUAACAUAAUCCUCAAUCAUCUCAGCACAAUCAAUGAAAGAGACUUCUCCUGAUUUUAUUUCUCUUCACCUCUAAGCAGAUUAAAAGACUUACAGAAUGCUGGUGGCACCUUUAGAUGGUAUAGACUGCUUUUGGCCAAAAGAAUACUAUGGACUACUAAUACGCAUGUGCUAAGAGACAUUCAAGGACAAAUUUUUAUUCCACUCUUCAUCCACUUUCCAUCUUCCCCCAUCAAUAUGUGGAAACAAUCCACCCCCAAAACCAAAGCAUCAACGUAAAACCAUGCUCCAUCACUUUUAGGGAGCAUAACCAACAGCUUAGUAUGAGUAAUAUAUUGUCCAAAAGCAUCCAAAAAAAUGUACAGACACGGACGUGAAUCCUUUUGUGCCUAAAUUAGAUAAUAGUAAUGUAUACAUUGGCAAAUAAUAGAAAGGGGAAUAAUACAGCUUUAGACCAACCUUUUUGAGGUGAGGGCUUGUCCGAUGAUCACAGUCGGGAGGAAUUUCAACUAUUUUGUUAUAUAUAUCUACCGGCAAUGUGGCUGUCCCAAACAGAUACUGGGUGGCUACAGGUGAAGAAUUGAUUAUGCUUUGAAACGCUGCUUCGAACUCCUCAUCAUUGCAGAGAAUAUCCACCUCAUCCAAAAUCACGCUGCAGCGUGAAGCCAUAGAU
rnacentral:lncRNA from 1 species